rnacentral:sRNA from 1 species
AGUUGUUGGUCUUUCAU